GCCUGGGUAGUUCAGUGGUAGAACGCCUCCAUGGUAAGGAGGAAGUCGGGAGUUCAAUCCUCCCCCCAGGCUCCA
rnacentral:tRNA from 2 species